CAGAGGGGUAGCCUUGGUUGUGACGGGAUCCCUAGGGUACAGUUUGGGACCAUGGGACCGCAGUGCCCCAUUAACUCUCCAGCCUGGGCUGUUUCUCACAAUGCUUUGCUAGUGACAAGCAGCAAACCCCUCCAGGUACUAU